rnacentral:rRNA from 1 species
CCUACGGGGGGCAGCAGUGAGGAAUAUUGGUCAAUGGACGAGAGUCUGAACCAGCCAAGUAGCGUGAAGGAUGACUGCCCUAUGGGUUGUAAACUUCUUUUAUAUGGGAAUAAAACGUUCCACGUGUGGGAUUUUGUAUGUACCAUAUGAAUAAGGAUCGGCUAACUCCGUGCCAGCAGCCGCGGUAAUACGGAGGAUCCGAGCGUUAUCCGGAUUUAUUGGGUUUAAAGGGAGCGUAGGUGGAUUGUUAAGUUAGUUGUGAAAGUUUGGGGCUCAACCGUAAAAUUGCAGUUGAAACUGGCAGUCUUGAGUUCAGUCGAGGUAGGCGGAAUACGUGGUGUAGCGGUGAAAUGCUUAGAUAUAACGAAGAACUCCGAUUGCGAAGGCAGUUCACUGGACUGCAACUGACACUGAGACUCGAGAGUGUGGGUAUCAAACAGGAUUAGAUACCCGAGUAGUC